rnacentral:rRNA from 1 species
AUGGUUCGAUCUCCGUCCGUAGCGGCGGCCUUCGCCGUGCUCCUCCUCUGCCUCUCCGGCCUCUCCCGCGGCGCCGAGCGGCUCGGGGCGAGGGAGUGCGAGGAGCUGGGGUUCACCGGCCUCGCCCUCUGCUCCGACUGCAACGCGCUCGCCGAGUUCGUCAAGGACCAAGAGUUAGUGGAUGACUGUCGUAAAUGUUGCACGGAGGAUUCAGAUGAUUCUAUCAGCAAGCUUGUAUACUCCGGGGCAAUUAUCGAAGUAUGCAUGAGAAAGCUGGUGUUUUAUCCAGAAGUUGUUGGCUUCCUUGAAGAGGAUAAAGAUGCCUUCCCUUAUGUAGAAUCUCGGUAUGCUUAUGGCUCUCCACCAAAGCUCAUAAUGCUUGACGACAAGGGUGAACAGAAGGAGACUAUAAGGAUUGACAACUGGAAGCGUGAGCAUAUUCGGCAAUUUCUCACAGAGAAGGUGAAGCCGGCGAAAUCAGAGACCUGA